CCUACGGGAGGCUGCAGUGAGGAAUAUUGGUCAAUGGGCGCGAGCCUGAACCAGCCAAGUAGCGUGAAGGAUGACUGCCCUACGGGUUGUAAACUUCUUUUAUCAAGGAAUAAAGUGAGGCACUUGUGCCUUUUUGUAUGUACUUUAUGAAUAAGGAUCGGCUAACGACGUGCCAGCAGCCGCGGUAAUACGGAGGAUACGAGCGUUAUCCGGAUUUAUUGGGUUUAAAGGGAGCGUAGAUGGGUUGUUAAGUCAGUUGUGAAAGUUUGCGGCUCAACCGUAAAAUUGCAAUUGAUACUAGCAGCCUUGAGUACAGUUGAGGUAGGCGGAAUUCGUGGUGUAGCGGUGAAAUGCUUAGAUAUCACGAAGAACUCCGAUGGCGAAGGCAGCUUACUAAACUGCCACUGACAUUGAGGCUCGAAAGUGUGGGUAUCAAACAGGAUUAGAUACCCCUGUAGUC
rnacentral:rRNA from 1 species